rnacentral:rRNA from 1 species
CACGAGCGCUGGCGGCAGGCUUAAAACAUGCAAGUCGAGCGCCCCGCAAGGGGAGCGGAAGACGGGUGAGUAACGCGUGGUAAUCUACCAAUCCCUACGGAAUAACGCAUGGCACCGUGUGCUAAUACCGUAUACGUCCUUGGGGAGAAAGAUUUAUCGGAGAUGGAUGACCCCGCGUUGGAUUAGCUAGUUGGUGGGGUAAAGGCCUACCAUGGGGACGAACCAUAGCUGGUCUGAGAGGAUGAUCAGCCACACUGGGACUGAGACACGGCCCAGACUCCUACGGGAGGCAGCAGUGAGGAAUAUUGGACAAUGGGCGCAAGCCUGAUCCAGCCAUGCCGCGUGAGUGAUGAAGGCCCUGGGGUUGUAAAUCUCUUUCACCGGUGAAGAUAAUGACGGUAACCGGAGAAGAAGCCCCGGCUAACUUCGUGCCAGCAGCCGCAGUAACAC